CGGGGGCCUGAGUGGGAUUGAGACUGUGUGGACCUCCGGCCACCAACUCCCAGAGUCACCCCUAGGCUGGACCUCAGGGGUUGGCUGUUACGGAGGUGUGAUGGUCGAAAUCAGGAGUGUCCAAUCUUUUGGCUUCCCUGGGCUUGGGCCACAUUAGAAGAAGAAUUGUCUUGGGCCACACAUAAAAUACACUAACACUAACGAUAGCUGAUGAGCUAAAACAGCUGGCCACUGCUUCUGGGACUUUGGAUGGUGGCGUGGAGCCUGGCAUUUUGUCCUGAUGAUGCCCGCCGUGCCUGGGGCUGGCCGAGGUCUUCCCCGCUGGCCUGGGCCCCCAAGCUGGGGCUGCCCUCUCUGCCAGUCUGAGCUGAGUUUCUGGCUGAGUUGGUGGCUGCCUCUCUGGGUCUUCUGAGACUUCACCAGGUGGUCUCUGCAGAAGCUUCUGGAACUUGCUGCAGCCAUGACUGCCCCAGAAAUAAGAGAGGUGCCCUUCUCUGCCCUUCACCCACCCUUGAACACUGGCCCAGCACCAGCCUGAGAGGGUCCUGGGCAGGGCCAAACUUGCAGGACCCCAGAGGAGCCCAGAAGUGGCCCCAGUGGGGGUGCUGGGGCGUGGGGGUCCCCUGGGCUGGCCACCAGAGGGUUUCCUCCAGACCGCUGUGUGCCUGGGCUGGGGGAGGGCCUGGGCUGGGAACAAGGAGGCUCUGUGCUCUGGGCCUGGGCAGGAGCCAGUUUGGGGCCCUCCUUGGGCCUUUGAAGUCCCAGGCGCACCCACCCUGAGGCCUGGAUAGGGCAGAGGCCUGGUGAAGCCCCACAGAGGUUUCUUGCGGAGGAAAUCUCAUGUCCCUGAGAGGGGCAGGUGGGAGAGGGAUGUGGGAGGGAUGGGAAGAGGGGGCAAUGAGAGCAGGCUGUGGUGGGGGGAGGGGCGUGGCAGAGGGGCAGGGCAUGGAGGGGGCAGGGCUGUAGACAGGGAAAGGAGCACGGAGGAGGACAGGGCUGUAGUUGAGGGGCAGGGGUGUGGGGGAGGGGAGGUCAUGGAGGGCAAGAUGUGGAGGGGGGCCAGGCCAUGGAGGGAGCAGGGUGUAGAAAUGGCGGGGCUGUGGUAGGGGUGAAGGGGCAUAGAGGCGGGCAGGCCUGUGGUUAGGGGCGUGGGUGUGGAGGAUGAGCACGGCAAGGAGGGAGCAGGGCUGUGGUGGGGGGAGGGGCAUGGGGAAGGACAGGGCACGGAGGGCAGGGCCAUGGAGGGUGGGAAGUGGUGGGUGGGCUGUGGAGGUCCCCCCAGGGUCACUCCUGUUGGGGCUGCUGUAAGGAAACCCCAUGAACUGCGUGGCUUGUAAACAUCAGGAGUUUAUUUCUCACAGCCCAGAGGCUGGAGGCCGGAGAUCAAGGUGCCAGCCUGGUCGGUGUCUGGGAAGGGCUGUCCUCUGAGUUAUGGAUUUCCGACUUCUCAUUCCAUCCUUAAAGCGGCAGAAAGAAGGGGAGGGAGCCCUCUGGCCUCUUCUUACAAGGGCAUGGGACCCAUUCAUGACAGCAGCGCCUUUGUGACCGCAUCACCGCCCAAAGCCCCACCUCCUAAUACCGUCAUAUUGGGGUUCGAUUUCAACAUAAGAAUUCGGGAGCUGGGCGUGGUGGCUCACACCUGUGAUCCCAGAGCUUUGGGAGGCUGAGGUGGGAGGAUCACUGGGAGCCAGGAGUUUGAGGCUGCAGUGAGCCAUGAUCACGCCACUGUACUCCAGCCUAGACAACAGAGGGAGACCCUGUCUAAAGAAUUUUGGGGCAA
rnacentral:lncRNA from 1 species